GUAGAUAACUCAGUGGGUAGAGUGCUUGCUCUGCAAACAUGAGGACUUGAGUUCAAAUCCCUAGUACCUACA
rnacentral:tRNA from 1 species